UAUCAGUUUCACGAAUCACCUGUAAGAGUUCUGAUCACGCCACAACGCCAUUAAGCGAAAGCCGCCGCUGUAUAAAAGGACGUGUUGAUGCUUCAUUCCGGCAUAACGCAAUUUUUGUGCAAUUACAAUCUUCAUUUCCACUUUAAUCCUCAAAAACCAACCAAAAACCAAAAAUGGGCGCUGAAAAAGUAACCAUGAACAUCGUUGUCGUCGGACAAGUCCAAUCUGCCAAGGCCAUCAAAUCGGUCGCCAAAGCCACCCCAGCCACCAGCCAAUUGAUGAACUGUUAAUUCAUGAAUUCCACAUCAAUCUCAAACUCAAAAAUGCCAUAGCCCAAACAGUACAUAAUUUUAUAAUUUGUUUCAAAUUUAUUAUAAAAAUGUGUUCUGCCAUUA